rnacentral:rRNA from 1 species
CCUACGGGAGGCAGCAGUGGGGAAUAUUGCACAAUGGGGGAAACCCUGAUGCAGCGACGCCGCGUGAGUGAAGAAGUAUUUCGGUGUGUAAAGCUCUAUCAGCAGGGACGAGACAAGACGGUACCUGACUAAGAAGCCCCGGCUAACUACGUGCCAGCAGCCGCGGUAAUACGUAGGGGGCAAGCGUUAUCCGGAAUCACUGGGUGUAAAGGGAGCGUAGACGGCUGAGCAAGCCUGAAGUGAAAGGCGGGGGCCCAACCCCUGGACUGCUUUGGGAACUGUACGGCUGGAGUGCAGGAGAGGUAAGUGGAAUUCCUGGUGUAGCGGUGAAAUGCGUAGAUAUUAGGAGGAACACCAGUGGCGAAGGCGGCUUACUGGACUGUAACUGACGUUGAGGCUCGAAAGCGUGGGGAGCAAACAGGAUUAGAUACCCGAGUAGUC